CCUACGGGGUGCAGCAGUGGGGAAUAUUGGACAAUGGGCGAAAGCCUGAUCCAGCCAUGCCGCGUGUGUGAAGAAGGCCUUCGGGUUGUAAAGCACUUUCAGUGGGGAAGAAAGCCUUGGGGCUAAUACCCUCGAGGAAGGACAUCACCCACAGAAGAAGCACCGGCUAACUCCGUGCCAGCAGCCGCGGUAAUACGGAGGGUGCGAGCGUUAAUCGGAAUUACUGGGCGUAAAGCGCGCGUAGGCGGUCUGAUAAGCCGGUUGUGAAAGCCCCGGGCUCAACCUGGGAACGGCAUCCGGAACUGUCAGGCUAGAGUGCAGGAGAGGAAGGUAGAAUUCCCGGUGUAGCGGUGAAAUGCGUAGAGAUCGGGAGGAAUACCAGUGGCGACGGCGGCCUUCUGGACUAACACUGACGCUGAGGUGCGAAAGCGUGGGUAGCAAACAGGAUUAGAUACCCCUGUAGUC
rnacentral:rRNA from 1 species